AGUGAACGCUGGCGGUAGGCCUAACACAUGCAAGUCGAACGGCAGCACAGGAGAGCUUGCUCUCUGGGUGGCGAGUGGCGGACGGGUGAGGAAUACAUCGGAAUCUACUCUGUCGUGGGGGAUAACGUAGGGAAACUUACGCUAAUACCGCAUACGACCUACGGGUGAAAGCAGGGGACCUUCGGGCCUUGCGCGAUUGAAUGAGCCGAUGUCGGAUUAGCUAGUUGGCGGGGUAAAGGCCCACCAAGGCGACGAUCCGUAGCUGGUCUGAGAGGAUGAUCAGCCACACUGGAACUGAGACACGGUCCAGACUCCUACGGGAGGCAGCAGUGGGGAAUAUUGGACAAUGGGCGCAAGCCUGAUCCAGCCAUACCGCGUGGGUGAAGAAGGCCUUCGGGUUGUAAAGCCCUUUUGUUGGGAAAGAAAUCCAGCUGGCUAAUACCCGGUUGGGAUGACGGUACCCAAAGAAUAAGCACCGGCUAACUUCGUGCCAGCCGCCGCAGUAA
rnacentral:rRNA from 1 species